rnacentral:rRNA from 1 species
GACGAACGCUGGCGGCGCGCCUAACACAUGCAAGUCGAACGAGCGAGCGAGAGCUUGCUUUCUUGAGCGAGUGGCGAACGGGUGAGUAACGCGUGAGGAACCUGCCUCAAAGAGGGGGACAACAGUUGGAAACGACUGCUAAUACCGCAUAAGCCCACGACCCGGCAUCGGGUUGAGGGAAAAGGAGCAAUCCGCUUUGAGAUGGCCUCGCGUCCGAUUAGCUAGGUGGUGAGGUAACGGCCCACCAAGGCGACGAUCGGUAGCCGGGCGGAGAGGUGGAACGGUCAGAUUGGGACUGAGACACGGCCCAGACUCCGACGGGAGGCAGCAGUGGGGAAUAUUGCACAAGGGGGGAAGCCCUGAUGCAGCGGCGCCGCGGGGAGGAAGAAGGUCUUCGGAUUGUAAACUCCUGUUGGUGAGGAAGAUAAUGACGGUACUCAGCAAGGAAGUGACGGCUAACUACGUG